rnacentral:rRNA from 1 species
AUUGAACGCUGGCGGCAGGCUUAACACAUGCAAGUCGAGCGAGCGGCGGACGGGUGAGUAAUGUCUGGGAACCUGCCUGAUGGAGGGGGGUAACUACUGGAAACGGUAGCUAAUACCGCAUACCAUCAAAUGUGCCCAGAUGGGAUUAGCUAGUAUGUGGGGUAAUGGCUCACCUAGGCGACGAUCCCUAGCUGGUCGGAGAGGAGGACAAGGCACACUGGAACUGAGACAAGGCCCAGACCCCUACGCGAGGCAGCAGUGGGGAAUAUUGCACAAUGGGAGGAAGGCUGAUGUAGCCAUGCCGCGUGUGGGAAGAAGGCCUUCGGGUUGGAAAGGACUUUCAGUGAGGAGGCGUUACUCGCAGAAGAAGCACCGGCUAACUCCGUGCCAGCCGCCGCGGUAAUUC